AACGCACCUUGCGCCCUUUGGUAUUCCGAAGGGCAUGCCUGUUUGAGUGUCAUUAAAUUCUCAACCUUGCAAGCUUUUUGUUUGUGAGGCUUGGAUGUGAGGGUUUUGCUGGCUUCCUUCCAUUUGGAUGGUCUGCUCCCUUUAAAUUCAUUAGUGGGAUCCUUUGUGGAUGGUCACUCGGUGUGAUAAUUAUCUACGCCGCCUGACUCUGAAACAAGACUUGUGGGAACCCGCUUAUAACCGUCUCUUUCAGAGACAACCUUAUCUUGACAAUUUGACCUCAAAUCAGGUAGGACUACCCGCUGAACUUAA
rnacentral:misc_RNA from 1 species